rnacentral:rRNA from 1 species
GACGAACGCUGGCGGCGUGCCUAACACAUGCAAGUCGAACGGUAAGGCUCCAGCUUGCUGGGGUACACGAGUGGCGAACGGGUGAGUAACACGUGGGUGACCUGCCCUGCACUUCGGGGGAAGCCUGGGGAACAGGGUCUAAUACCGGAUAGGAUCUUUGUGUGGAUACUGUGGUGGAAUGUUUUUGCGUUAUGGGAUGGGUCCGCGGCCUAUCAGCUUGUUGGUGGGGUAUUGGCCGACCAAGGCGGCGACGGGUAGCCGGCCUGGGAGGGUGGACGGCGACAUUAGGACUGCGAGACGCCGCAGACUCCAACGGGAGGCAGCGGUGGAGAAUAUUGCACAAUAGGCGGGAGCCUGAUACAGAGACGCCGCGUGGGGGAAGCCGUCCUUCGGGUUGUGAACUCCUGUCACCAUCACCGAAGAGUUUCUGACGGUAGAUGGAGAAAAAGCACCGGCUAACUACGUG